AAUCCAUAGGUUAAUGAGGCGAACCGGGGGAACUGAAACAUCUAAGUACCCCGAGGAAAAGAAAUCAACCGAGAUUCCCCCAGUAGCGGCGAGCGAACGGGGAGGAGCCCAGAGCCUGAAUCAGCAUGUGUGUUAGUGGAAGCGUCUGGAAAGGCGCGCGAUACAGGGUGACAGCCCCGUACACAAAAGCGCAUGUGCUGUGAGCUCGAUGAGUAGGGCGGGACACGUGGUAUCCUGUCUGAAUAUGGGGGGACCAUCCUCCAAGGCUAAAUACUCCUGACUGACCGAUAGUGAACCAGUACCGUGAGGGAAAGGCGAAAAGAACCCCGGCGAGGGGAGUGAAAAAGAACCUGAAACCGUGUACGUACAAGCAGUGGGAGCCCCACCACCAAAGCAUUUGCUGUACCGCGUUGACGGAGCGAAGCGACGUCAAACCGAUAAAACAGCAGUGUAAAGUGAGCCGCAGGGCGCUUUGCGCGACAGCGCAAAGGCAGGCGGUUUCGCGU
rnacentral:rRNA from 1 species